UACGUAGGGUGCUAGCGUUGUCCGGAUUUAUUGGGCGUAAAGAGCUCGUAGGCGGUUUGUCGCGUCUGCCGUGAAAGUCCGGGGCUCAACUCCGGAUCUGCGGUGGGUACGGGCAGACUAGAGUGCAGUAGGGGAGACUGGAAUUCCUGGUGUAGCGGUGAAAUGCGCAGAUAUCAGGAGGAACACCGAUGGCGAAGGCAGGUCUCUGGGCUGUAACUGACGCUGAGGAGCGAAAGCAUGGGGAGCGAACAGG
rnacentral:rRNA from 1 species